AACGUAGGGGACAAGCGUUAUCCGGAUUUACUGGGCGUAAAGCGCCCGUAGGCGGCCUGACAAGUUGGACGUGAAAGCUCCUGGCUUAACUGGGAGAGGCCGUUCAAAACUGUCAAGCUAGAGUCUGGAAGAGGAGAGCGGAAUUCCCGGUGUAGUGGUGGAAUGCGUAGAGAUCGGGAGGAACACCAGUGGCGAAAGCGGCUCUCUGGUCCAAAACUGACGCUGAGGGGCGAAGGCGUGGGGAGCGAACGGG
rnacentral:rRNA from 1 species